rnacentral:tRNA from 20 species
GGGAAUAGCUCAGUUGGUAGAGCACGACCUUGCCAAGGUCGGGGUCGCGAGUUCGAGUCUCGUUUCCC